UACGAAGGGGGCUAGCGUUGUUCGGAAUUACUGGGCGUAAAGCGUGCGCAGGCGGCUUCUCAAGUCAGGGGUGAAAGCCCAGAGCUCAACUCUGGAAUUGCCUUUGAGACUGAGUGGCUUGAGUACGAGAGAGGUGAGUGGAAUUCCCAGUGUAGAGGUGAAAUUCGUAGAUAUUGGGAAGAACACCGGUGGCGAAGGCGGCUCACUGGCUCGUAACUGACGCUGUAGCGGCGAAAGCGUGGGGAGCGAACCGG
rnacentral:rRNA from 1 species